rnacentral:rRNA from 1 species
UACGAAGGGGGCUAGCGUUGUUCGGAAUCACUGGGCGUAAAGGGCGCGUAGGCGGCGUGACAAGUCACUUGUGAAAUCUCCGGGCUUAACUCGGAACGGCCAAGUGAUACUGUCGUGCUAGAGUGCAGAAGGGGCAAUCGGAAUUCUUGGUGUAGCGGUGAAAUGCGUAGAUAUCGAGAGGAACACCUGCGGCGAAGGCGGGUUGCUGGGCUGACACUGACGCUGAAGCGCGAAAGCCAGGGGAGCGAACGGG